UACAGAGGUCUCAACCGUUGUUCGGAUUCAUUGGGCGUAAAGGGUGCGUAGGCGGUCGCGCAAGUCGGAUGUGAAAUCUCAGGGCUCAACCCUGAAACUGCAUUCGAUACUGCGUGGCUCGAGUACUGGAGAGGAGACUGGAAUUUACGGUGUAGCAGUGAAAUGCGUAGAUAUCGUAAGGAAGACCAGUGGCGAAGGCGGGUCUCUGGACAGUUCCUGACGCUGAGGCACGAAGGUCAGGGGAGCAAACGGGG
rnacentral:rRNA from 1 species